CCCUUAGAGUUUGAUCCUGGCUCAGAUUGAACGCUGGCGGCAGGCCUAACACAUGCAAGUCGAGCGGUAACAGAUUGAUAGCUUGCUAUCGAUGCUGACGAGCGGCGGACGGGUGAGUAAUGCCUGGGAAUAUGCCCUGAUGUGGGGGAUAACUAUUGGAAACGAUAGCUAAUACCGCAUAAUCUCUUUGGAGCAAAGAGGGGGACCUUCGGGCCUCUCGCGUCAGGAUUAGCCCAGGUGGGAUUAGCUUGUUGGUGGGGUAAUGGCUCACCAAGGCAACGAUCCCUAGCUGGUCUGAGAGGAUGAUCAGCCACACUGGAACUGAGACACGGUCCAGACUCCUACGGGAGGCAGCAGUGGGGAAUAUUGCACAAUGGGGGAAACCCUGAUGCAGCCAUGCCGCGUGUAUGAAGAAGGCCUUCGGGUUGUAAAGUACUUUCAGUUGUGAGGAAGGCAGUAAAGUUAAUAGCUUUGCUGUUUGACGUUAGCAACAGAAGAAGCACCGGCUAACUCCGUGCCAGCAGCCGCGGUAAUACGGAGGGUGCGAGCGUUAAUCGGAAUUACUGGGCGUAAAGCGCAUGCAGGUGGUCUGUUAAGCAAGAUGUGAAAGCCCGGGGCUCAACCUCGGAACAGCAUUUUGAACUGGCAAACUAGAGUACUGUACAGGGGGGGUA
rnacentral:rRNA from 2 species